GACGAACGCUGGCGGCGUGUCUAAUACAUGCAAGUAGAACGCACAGUUUAUACCGUAGCUUGCUACACCAUAAACUGUGAGUUGCGAACGGGUGAGUAACGCGUAGGUAACCUGCCUGGUAGCGGGGGAUAACUAUUGGAAACGAUAGCUAAUACCGCAUAAUAUUGAUUAUUGCAUGAUAAUUGAUUGAAAGAUGCUAUUGCAUCACUACCAGAUGGACCUGCGUUGUAUUAGCUAGUAGGUGAGGUAACGGCUCACCUAGGCGACGAUACAUAGCCGACCUGAGAGGGUGAUCGGCCACACUGGGACUGAGACACGGCCCAGACUCCUACGGGAGGCAGCAGUAGGGAAUCUUCGGCAAUGGACGAAAGUCUGACCGAGCAACGCCGCGUGAGUGAAGAAGGUUUUCGGAUCGUAAAGCUCUGUUGUAAGAGAAGAACGGGUGUGAGAGUGGAAAGUUCACACUGUGACGGUAUCUUACCAGAAAGGGACGGCUAACUACGUG
rnacentral:rRNA from 1 species